GACGAACCGUGCAAACGUUGUUCAGAAUCACUGGGCUUAAAGGGCGCGUAGGCGGCUCAUCAAGUCGGGGGUGAAAUACUUCAGCUUAACUGGAGAAGUGCCUUCGAUACUGGUGGGCUUGAGGGAGGUAGGGGUCUUUGGAACUUCUGGUGGAGCGGUGAAAUGCGUUGAUAUCAGAAGGAACGCCGGUGGCGAAGCGAAGGACUGGACCUCUUCUGACGCUGAGGCGCGAAAAGCUAGGGGAGCAAACGGG
rnacentral:rRNA from 1 species